AAGAAUUUCAUCUCCCUCAGAAAUCAGAAACCUGACGUGAAUCUCACCUUUGCUCCUUUAUUCCGUUGCUGAUGAGGAGCUGUGUUGCUUUGGAGGAGAAGAGGUGCUCUGAUUUUCAGACAGAUCAAUGAGACAGAAAGUUAACAAGAAUAUCCAGGAAUUGAACUCAGCUCUGCACCAAGCGGACCUAAUAGACAUCUACAGAACUCUCCACCCGAAAUCAACAGAAUAUACAUUCUUCUCGGCACCACAUUGCACUUAUUCCAAAAUUGACCACAUAGUUGGAAGUAAAGCACUCCUCAGAAAAUGUAAAAGAACAGAAAUUAUAACAAACUCUCUCUCAGACCACAGUGCAAUCAAACUAGAACUCAGGAUUAAGAAACUCACUCAAAACCACUCAACUACAUGGAAAUUGAACAACCUGCUCCUGAAUGAC
rnacentral:lncRNA from 10 species